rnacentral:rRNA from 1 species
CCCUUAGAUGUUCUGGGCCGCACGCGCGCUACACUGAUUCAUGCAACAAGUUUUGUCCUUGGCUGAUAGGCCUGGGUAAUCUUUGAACAUGAAUCGUGAUGGGGAUAGAUGAUUGCAAUUAUUCAUCUUCAACGAGGAAUUCCUAGUAAACGCAAGUCAUCAGCUUGCAUUGAUUACGUCCCUGCCCUUUGUACACACCGCCCGUCGCACCUACCGAUUGAAUGGUCCGGUGAAAUCUUCGGAUCUGAGAGAUGUCUGAUUAAUUUCGGACGCCUUUUGGAAAAGUUGUUUAAACCUUACCAUUUAGAGGAAGGUGAAGUCGUAACA